UACGUAGGGUGCAAGCGUUGUCCGGAAUUAUUGGGCGUAAAGAGCUUGUAGGCGGUUUGUCGCGUCUGCUGUGAAAUUUCGGGGCUCAACCCCGAACUUGCAGUGGGUACGGGCAGACUAGAGUGUGGUAGGGGAGACUGGAAUUCCUGGUGUAGCGGUGAAAUGCGCAGAUAUCAGGAGGAACACCGGUGGCGAAGGCGGCAUUCUGGACCGAUAUUGACGCUGAGGAGCGAAAGCCAGGGGAGCAAACGGG
rnacentral:rRNA from 1 species